CUACGGGUUGCAGCAGUGAGGAAUAUUGCACAAUGGGGGAAACCCUGAUGCAGCAACGCCGCGUGGAGGAUGACGCAUUUCGGUGUGUAAACUCCUUUUAUCAGAGAAGAAAAUGACGGUAUCUGAUGAAUAAGCUCCGGCUAACUCCGUGCCAGCAGCCGCGGUAAUACGGAGGGAGCAAGCGUUAUUCGGAAUCACUGGGCGUAAAGGACGCGUAGGCGGGUUUUUAAGUCAGGUGUGAAAUCCUAUGGCUCAACCAUAGAACUGCACUUGAAACUGGGGACCUAGAGUAUGGAAGGGGCAGGUGGAAUUAGUGGUGUAGGGGUAAAAUCCGUAGACAUCACUAGGAAUACCGAAAGCGAAGGCGACCUGCUGGGACAUUACUGACGCUGAGGCGUGAAAGCGUGGGGAGCAAACAGGAUUAGAUACCCUCGUAGUC
rnacentral:rRNA from 1 species